UUUUAACACCAAAGAUAAUUAGCAUUUGUUUAGUGCAACACAAUGACGAAAUCUACAAAGUGCCAAAUGCCAGCACAACACCUACAUUCAUAACAUCAUGGAAUGGCAAUAAUUGGGCGGCACGUGCUUCCGGGCCCAUCGUUUGUUCACUUAGCAACCAUUUUAAUUGCAGUUAUCUGUAGUCCUCCACCGGCUUUUUGAUCUUACUUGUGCACUUCUAGGAAGGUGUUUCCCCAGCGUGGGGACACAGCAUCCUGCCUGGUGACGCCUCUGAGGUAAAGACCGUCCAUGGUGGGUCCUCACACAGGGCCGCCCUGGAGCCUUGGAAGAGCUCCCCUGUUACAGCUGCAGUGUCAGCUGCAUUUCCUGUCAAAGCAGCCCCUCGCACGGUAUCAAAGGAUUGCAGUCCUUUUUCUGCAUUCGCGUCAAUUUAUAGUUAUGUUCUGUGAAAACUAAUGUGCUUCAUUUUCCCUGUUGCGUUUGAGUCUGCCGAGGUCUGGGAGCCUGAAGCGAAGUGAGGUUGAGAACUGUGGUUCUCUCCCAGACGUGGCCAUGGCAAUCAAGUUGUACUUGGGGCUUUUCUUUUUUAAUAGAAAGGAAGAUUUCCUUAGAUCAGCCUGUUUCAAAUAUUCAGAGUAUUUCUUCCAGUCUAACAAAGUCCAGUGCUGCGGGAGUUUCAGAUGGAAGGUGAGGCAGAGGAAACAUUCUCCUUGGGACGGCAGAGGGUCAGGGGCAGGCCGGGCCCAGAAGAAGCCCCUGUGGCUGCGCCCCCGGCGGAGGGCUAGGCUGUGUGUCCUCUCCCUGCCAUGUAGGGGGCAGCAACACGCAAGGCUAGACGCUUCCUCCACCUCUCAGCCCUCGCCCGACACACACUCCGCCCGACACACACACUCCCGCACACACAGAUCCUUGCAAGAGCGAAGGAUCUCACUUCUGUACCUCCUCAGAAGAAAAAGGAAGAAAACUGCUCCAGUCUUCAGCUGUGUAAGCCUUCAGAGAGAUAAACAGGGCUGCCCCUUCCUCCUCUGUAAAGACGUGGGAAGCCAGGAAUGGCGCGCAUGUGAAUGAAUCCACCUGCUCUGAUGCUGCAGGCAGUGAGGUUCUGAGUGUGAAUCCUGGGAAAUGGCGUCCAGGCAGAGGCCACGUGGGCGAGGGCCACUCUGUCGCUCUGAGGAGCUCGUGAAAGCUACUGUGUGAAUGAUGUGGCUCCCCCUCCACGCGGGAAACUGUGAGGGGCGCCUGACCACGCCGUGACAAACCAGGUGGUGGUGGGAGGCACCGUCCAGGUGUGUUGCCAUGGUGUCAGCCUGUGUCCUGCACACCAAGAAGUCACCAGAGGGCAUUCUGCUCCUUGAGGAGGUGCGCCUGUGGUCGGCACUGUGCUCUGGGCGCUUUAACUUCAUGAUUCAAGGUCACUCAAGUGAGAACUACAACCUUGGGAAAUGGACUGAGAUUGUCCACCUCCUGCCCUGUGGACUUCGCAGCAAUCUGAAAGGAAUGGUGUGCUUUACCUCUGGCCUAAACACAGAAAUCAUUUCCCUUUCCUUGCCAAUUGCUGUUGUUGCUUUUAUUUUUCUUCUGCUGAGUGAUAACUUUGGGAAAAGGGAACAAACAGGGCAAUUUCUGAUCUUAUUGGUUAAGUGGUGACAAGAAUUUAAGAGAAAGUGCGACCUUUGUACUCCAUUCUAUGCCUUCCAUUCCCACCUGAAACAUAAGAAAAAAUUUAUACGUGACCAUUUAUCAUUUCCACACUUUGACAAACCCUUUCCAUACUUUUAUUACCAAAACACUGUGAAGUGUACAAAAUGUACAUGAUAUAGAGAAGGUUUUAUGUCGCUUUCCAAACCGACUCCAUUGCAAAAGAACAGAGCAGGCUGUCGGCCAAGAUAUAUCUGUGCAAAGCCUGGUGUAACACGCAAUCUAUUCCAGAUUCUCCCUCUGCCCAACCCGCAGUUGUUUGACAAGUAGACAGAUUUUUAUUAUUUGAACUGGAAAUGUCCUUUUGAUAAAUUUGUACACAUUUAAGCUUUACUUACAGAAGGCAUCUGCUUCAAGUAUUUUCCAGGAAAAGUGAUAUGUUGAAUCUCAGAAAGGUCUUUUCCACUGGUAAUAUUUAUCAAAAAGUAAAUCACAAUAAAGUCGUGUAUUAAUGGCCUG